rnacentral:lncRNA from 1 species
GGAUUACUGAAUGUUUUACAUAAUGUAUUAAUGUAUUUGUCACUUGUACUAAAAUUAAUUAUGAUUUAUCUGAUUAAAUAUGUUUUAUUUAGGUCAAAUCUUGUUCAGAUAUUAUUUUGUUCCAAUGAAGUGAUCAAUAUCUACACUGUAUCCAUCCUAGUUAAGGAAGAUUUUAUAACAAAAAAGGGCCACCAUACCCCAAUUUUUCAACGCAUACUUAUAGAUUUCUCAAGUAAUGAAAUUACAUCAAUGACUUUUUUGAAAGUGAGAUUUUGGAGAUGGAUAUGUAUAUACAGGACAAGAAUGCUGAAAUUGUAGAAGAUAAAUUUUUCAGAACAUAUUACUAAAGAGACUUCAGAGUAAAAUAUCAUAGAUGUGAGAAGACAGUCACAAACGACUUUUCCACACAACUGACAGCACCGAGUCAGAAUCUGAGGUGACAUGACAGAAUUUUCCUUCUCUUCUCUGAAGUGCAGAGGAACAAUGACAAGAUGUGAGGAGGAACAAAACGCAGUCACACAGGGAAGCUUCAUUACAAUGAAAUCACCAUGGGUGUGUGUG